rnacentral:rRNA from 1 species
GGAUGAACGCUAGCGGCAGGCUUAACACAUGCAAGUCGAGGGGUAUAGUUCUUCGGAGCUAGAGACCGGCGCACGGGUGCGUAACGCGUAUGCAAUCUACCUUUCACAGAGGGAUAGCCCAGAGAAAUUUGGAUUAAUACCUCAUAGUAUUAUAGAGUGGCAUCACUUUAUAAUUAAAGUCACAACGGUGAAAGAUGAGCAUGCGUCCCAUUAGCUAGUUGGUAAGGUAACGGCUUACCAAGGCUACGAUGGGUAGGGGUCCUGAGAGGGAGAUCCCCCACACUGGUACUGAGACACGGACCAGACUCCUACGGGAGGCAGCAGUGAGGAAUAUUGGACGAUGGGCGCAAGCCUGAUCCAGCCAUGCCGCGUGCAGGAUGACGGUCCUAUGGAUUGUAAACUGCUUUUGUACGAGAAGAAACACCUCUACGUGUAGAGAUUUGACGGUAUCGUAAGAAUAAGGAUCGGCUAACUCCGUGCCAGCAGCCGCGGUAAUACGGAGGAUCCAAGCGUUAUCCGGAAUCAUUGGGUUUAAAGGGUCCGUAGGCGGUUUAGUAAGUCAGUGGUGAAAGCCCAUCGCUCAACGGUGGAACGGCCAUUGAUACUGCUGAACUUGAAUUAUUAGGAAGUAACUAGAAUAUGUAGUGUAGCGGUGAAAUGCUUAGAGAUUACAUGGAAUACCAAUUGCGAAGGCAGGUUACUACUAAUGGAUUGACGCUGAUGGACGAAAGCGUGGGUAGCGAACAGGAUUAGAUACCCUGGUAGUCCACGCCGUAAACGAUGGAUACUAGCUGUUGGGAGCAAUUUCAGUGGCUAAGCGAAAG